rnacentral:ncRNA from 2 species
AGUAAUGAGUGCCAGCGCCAAGCCCUGACUUGCUGGCCGGCAACCCUCUUUCCGGCGGGGUGCCUCAGGUGAAUACUUGGCAAACCCAGCUACCACGGCUGACGUUUGCAAGCGUGAACC